rnacentral:sRNA from 1 species
GACCUGUCCGGUAUCAAGCGCCCGGACCGCGGCCGUGGCCACUGGACCGUCCGCGGCGUCGCAAUGG